rnacentral:rRNA from 1 species
AACGAACGCUGGCGGCAGGCUUAACACAUGCAAGUCGAACGCAUCCUUCGGGGUGAGUGGCAGACGGGUGAGUAACGCGUGGGAACGUGCCCUUCAGUUCGGGAUAACCCAGGGAAACUUGGGCUAAUACCGGAUACGUGCGAGAGCAGAAAGAUUUAUCGCUGAAGGAUAGGCCCGCGUCUGAUGAGCUAGUUGGUGGGGUAAUGGCCCACCAAGGCGACGAUCAGUAGCUGGACUGAGAGGAUGGUCAGCACAUUGGGACUGAGACACGGCCCAAACUCCUACGGGAGGCAGCAGUGGGGAAUAUUGGACAAUGGGCGCAAGCCUGAUCCAGCCAUGCCGCGUGAGUGAUGAAGGCCUUAGGGUUGUAAAGCUCUUUCGUCCGGGACGAUAAUGACGGUACCGGAAGAAGAAGCCCCGGCUAACUCCGUGCCAGCAGCCGCCGUAA